GUGGGGAAUUUUGGACAAUGGGCGCAAGCCUGAUCCAGCCAUGCCGCGUGUCUGAAGAAGGCCUUCGGGUUGUAAAGGACUUUUGUCAGGGAAGAAAAGGAUAGGGUUAAUACCCCUGUCUGAUGACGGUACCUGAAGAAUAAGCACCGGCUAACUACGUGCCAGCAGCCGCGGUAAUGCGUAGGGUGCGAGCGUUAAUCGGAAUUACUGGGCGUAAAGCGGGCGCAGACGGUUACUUAAGCAGGAUGUGAAAUCCCCGGGCUCAACCUGGGAACUGCGUUCUGAACUGGGUGACUAGAGUGUGUCAGAGGGAGGUAGAAUUCCACGUGUAGCAGUGAAAUGCGUAGAGAUGUGGAGGAAUACCGAUGGCGAAGGCAGCCUCCUGGGAUAACACUGACGUUCAUGCCCGAAAGCGUGGGUAGCAAACAGGAUUAGAUACCCUGGUAGUCCACGCCCUAAACGAUGUCGAUUAGCUGUUGGGCAGCUUGACUGCUUAGUAGCGAAGCUAACGCGUGAAAUCGACCGCCUGGGGAGUACGGUCGCAAGAUU
rnacentral:rRNA from 1 species